GGGGCGUAACUGGCCUCAAGGAAAGAGCCAGAAAGUCUAGAUGUCUGAGAAGGCAGGGACCCGGGAGGUGGCCGAACGGGCUUGAGGGCUUGCCGCGAGCAACUGCCUGUCAGCAACAAUGCGAAAACUGCCACCUCCUCGCAAGCCUCCUCACCUAGUGCUGGUAACCCGGCGCUGGCCGCCUGCCCAGCCCCGCUCGGCGGAUGCAGCCUAAGCUCAAAGUUUCCUUAGCCCAGACACCUUGGCAAAGGGCUACCCAAGCUGUGCCUUGGACUGGUUCUUCUUACAGCACCUCUCCGCCUUGUCCCCAUCCGAUCCGAGCAGAAAGUAGAUUUUCCAAAUUAAAGGGAGAAAGGGGUGUGUGUGUGUGUGUGUGGUGAUGAGGUAUUAUUAAAAGAGACCAGGGCGGCCACAACUGAAAACAUCCGCUUCUUUUCUGACCGAUGCCCUGGAAUUGACUGAUGACGGGCCUGUGAGGUUAAAGAAAAUGAAAUAGAAAGCCAAGUUGACCGAGGAGGGGCUGGCUGCCAGCAAGGUUGUCCUGUCUCCGUUACUACACGGGCGUGAAGAUUUGUAGGCGCAGCCAGUGCAAGAGCUUCAAAUCGCCAUCCACUCCUGAUCCCCUUGGAAGGAAAAGCCGGCAGAGCUCAGGGAGAGUGAGUCAAGAAAAAGCCUCUGGACUUGUGUGCGUCGCAGCCUUGGUUUGGGAUUUUAAGGAUAGGAAAGAGAAUUAACAGCAUCUCAAGAUUUGUUUUUCUUUAGCACAGCAUACCCACGCCAUCGUUGUCAUAGAGCGCUGCGAGCACGCUAGCGCCUCUCCGAAGCGGGGGCAGGUGAGCCCGGCGUAGGUGGGCAGGUGGCGGCGGUGGCAGCAUCAGGCGGGUGGUUUGCAGGGCGAGCGAAGAAGUCCAAGCCGCCGUCUG